AUCUCAUCAUCUCCUUGAUUGCAAAAUUAAAGGAGUUAGGGAGCUGGAAUCAGAUCCACCUACAGAUCUAGGACGCUUUAAUCCCCCAUUUUUUUCCGCAGUAAUGGUAAUCGGGCACCGUUUUUUCACAAGAUUAUGGGCUGGAUGUGUCAGUGCGGGGAGAAAAAAGAUUGGCUUCUUUCUCAAGAAUGCGCUGAGGAAAAAGACCUGCAAUGUGCGUUAAUUAAAGCUUAUCCGAGGGAAAAGGACGUAACAUAACGGGAAAAGAUGUUCUGGUUAU
rnacentral:lncRNA from 1 species